CAAGUACUCCCUCCGUCCGGAAUUACUUGUCAUCAAAAUGGAUGUGUCUAGAACUAAAAUACAUCUAGAUAUAUCCAUUUCAAUGACAAGUAUUUUCGGAUGGAGGGAGUACAAG
rnacentral:pre_miRNA from 1 species